CACGUAGGGUGCGAGCGUUGUCCGGAAUUAUUGGGCGUAAAGAGCUCGUAGGCGGUGUGUCGCGUCGGCCGUGAAAACCUGCAGCUUAACUGUGGGCGUGCGGUCGAUACGGGCAUCACUGGAGUUCGGCAGGGGAGACUGGAAUUCCUGGUGUAGCGGUGAAAUGCGCAGAUAUCAGGAGGAACACCGGUGGCGAAGGCGGGUCUCUGGGCCGAUACUGACGCUGAGGAGCGAAAGCGUGGGGAGCGAACGGG
rnacentral:rRNA from 1 species